rnacentral:lncRNA from 1 species
GCAGCCAAAAUGGCUUCCAACGCUCAGCCUGAGCCGCCGGACUUCACGCCAUGCUCUACUGACGUCGGCUGACGGCCAUUGGCUUCACACCCAGGCCUGGGCAUGGCCACGCCCCCUCGGCCCCCUCCUGGCAGCUUGCACUGCGCCUGGUGUUCAGCGCAAUCCUAUGACCACUCGAGUGGGGUCAUGGGGUGGAGAGAGGGAUGGCCACUGACCGUGUCAGAGGGAAGUUGGGGUCAGCGUAUGGGGAAAAGCACGGGCUAAGUGUAGUGUAAUCACAGCAAAGGGGUGGAGGUGGGGAAGAUUGUUCUCAGUAGUUCCGUGACCCUCCAGGAAGAGGAAAUAGGCAAGAGAUCGCUAGGCACAUCUGAACAAACUGAUUUAUUAGAGUGUUACAGUGGGGGCUCCCACACAGACGGGCACCAGAGCGAGGUGCUCAGCUCCCCUCAUCUCCCUCAGCCUCCACAGCCUUCUGGCUCUCCUCCUCGCCUUUCCGCGUAAACUCCUCGAUGACUAUGUCCUCAGAGCUUGCAGAAGCAGCAGAAGAGAAUGGAAGGUUAGGAACCCCUUUCUGGGUGUCCUCCGUGUCCACUCUUUUUUCCUGAUCCCAGAAAAGUGAUCCCCUCCCUGCUUCCCAGGUAGGCUCCUCGGCCCCCUCUUGGUGUCCCCACUUUUCCAUCAGCCACUCUGGCUUGUUUCCUUUCAUUCCCGCCCAAAUUUCCCAGCACAAAAGUCCCCCAGGAGCACUGAAAGGGACAUAAGGAUGAGGGAUGGGAAGGAGGGAAGGUAUCAAAGAAUGAAAGACGAAAGAAG